rnacentral:rRNA from 1 species
UACGAAGGGGGCUAGCGUUGCUCGGAAUCACUGGGCGUAAAGGGUGCGUAGGCGGGUCUUUAAGUCAGAGGUGAAAUCCUGGAGCUCAACCCCAGAACUGCCUUUGAUACUGAGGAUCUUGAGUACGGGAGAGGUGAGUGGAACUGCGAGUGUAGAGGUGAAAUUCGUAGAUAUUCGCAAGAACACCAGUGGCGAAGGCGGCUCACUGGCCCGUUACUGACGCUGAGGCACGAAAGCGUGGGGAGCGAACAGG